rnacentral:rRNA from 1 species
AGCCGCGGUAACACCGGCGGCCCGAGUGGUGAUCGUGAUUAUUGGGUCUAAAGGGUCCGUAGCCGGUUUGGUCAGUCCUCCGGGAAAUCUGAUAGCUCAACUAUUAGGCUUUCGGGGGAUACUGCCAGACUUGGAACCGGGAGAGGUAAGAGGUACUACAGGGGUAGGAGUGAAAUCUUGUAAUCCCUGUGGGACCACCUGUGGCGAAGGCGUCUUACCAGAACGGGUUCGACGGUGAGGGACGAAAGCUGGGGGCACGAACCGGAUUAGAUACCCGGGUAGUCCCAGCCGUAAACGAUGCUCGCUAGGUGUCAGGCAUGGCGCGACCGUGUCUGGUGCCGCAGGGAAGCCGUGAAGCGAGCCACCUGGGAAGUACGGCCGCAAGGCUGAAACUUAAAGGAAUUGGCGGGGGAGCACAACAACGGGUGGAGCCCUGCGGUUUAAUUGGACUCAACGCCGGACAACUCACCGGGGGCGACAGCAAUAUGUAGGCCAAGCUGAAGACUUUGCCUGAAUCGCUGAGAAGUGGUGCAUGG